UACGUAGGGUGCAAGCGUUGUCCGGAAUUAUUGGGCGUAAAGAGCUCGUAGGCGGUGUGUCACGUCGGCCGUGAAAACCUGCAGCUUAACUGUGGGCGUGCGGUCGAUACGGGCAUCACUGGAGUUCGGCAGGGGAGACUGGAAUUCCUGGUGUAGCGGUGAAAUGCGCAGAUAUCAGGAGGAACACCGGUGGCGAAGGCGGGUCUCUGGGCCGUAUACUGACGC
rnacentral:rRNA from 1 species